rnacentral:rRNA from 1 species
UACGUAGGGUGCAAGCGUUGUCCGGAAUUAUUGGGCGUAAAGAGCUCGUAGGCGGUCUGUCGCGUCGGCUGUGAAAUCCCGAGGCUCAACCCCGGGCUUGCAGUGGAUACGGGCAGACUAGAGUUCGGUAGGGGAGACUGGAAUUCCUGGUGUAGCGGUGAAAUGCGCAGAUAUCAGGAGGAACACCGGUGGCGAAGGCGGGUCUCUGGGCCGAUACUGACGCUGAGGAGCGAAAGCGUGGGGAGCGAACAGG